rnacentral:rRNA from 1 species
UACGGAGGGUGCGAGCGUUGUCCGGAAUCACUGGGCGUAAAGGGCGCGUAGGCGGCCUGUUAAGUAGGGGGUGAAAUCCUGCGGCUUAACCGCAGAGCUGCCUUCUAAACUGUCAGGCUAGAGCACAGUAGAGGCAGGUGGAAUUCCCGGUGUAGCGGUGGAAUGCGUAGAGAUCGGGAAGAACAUCAGUGGCGAAGGCGGCCUGCUGGGCUGUUGCUGACGCUGAGGCGCGACAGCGUGGGGAGCAAACAGG